AUUGCGGUUUUAAGUGACCAGUGUUUUGUGUUUCGAUAAUGUGCUUCCCUACAUAUGGGUCUCCAAAAUAUGAAGCCCUCCAAAACAAGAUGGUACAAAACAUUGAGGCAUUUUAAAUAAGAGGCGGUGUGGUACCCUGGUUAAAGAAAAGGGCUUAUAACCAGGAGGUCCCCGGUUCAAAUCCUACCUGAGUCACUAACUCGUUGUGUAACCGUGAGCAAGUCACUUAACCUCCUUGUGCUCCGUCUUUCGGGUGGGACGUAUUUGUAAGUGACUCUGCAGGUGAUGCAUAGUUCACACACCCUAGUCUCUGUAAGUUGCCUUGGAUAAAGGCGUCUGCUAAAUAAACAAAUAAUAAUAACUUGGGCAGUGUUCACGUAAAGAAGGUGGUUUUUUUUUGUUUUUUUGUUUUUUUUUUGCAAAUAGAAACUGGAACAAAACAAAAGAUAGGGCACAGCUGUAAAUGCAAAGCAUGAGGAAGCUAGUAAAGAAUACCGGUAUGUAAAAUGCAUAAUGUAACUAACACCUGUGACAAACAUUGACGUUAAUAGCCAAUCAGAUCAUAGUUACGGUAUGUACUUAAUGUCAAGCCUACUACCUCAUUUAAUAGUAUAGCCUAGCUUAGUUCAUUUUAGUUAGACAUUUAAAAACAUUAGCAUACUUUGCUGGUGAAAUAAACGAAAAGGAGCUGUAUCUUAUUUUCUGGUGAAUUUGUGGAGAUGGCAGACACGGAGGAAAAAAAGAAAGGUGGAGAUGGCAGACACGGAGGAAAAAAGAAAGGU